rnacentral:lncRNA from 1 species
UACUAUUUGCCUCUUUCAUGGUGAGGGAUUAAGGGGGCCAUUGUAUUCUGUAAGCAAAAUAACUCAAAUUUCAGGGGUUCUCAUUUCGAGGGUGUAUGUUUGCACUAAUCACAACCACACAAUAAAUUAAUACCUUGCUAUGUUGAAGAGUUUCAAAAUAAAUAAAUAAAUAUCAAAUUCAAACUUCCUGAUUGUUAUCAUCCAAACUUGGGACUAAAUGAAUUGUGAAAAAUUGGACUUGCAAGGUUAACAAAAAAUGGUGGGUUUAAAUACAUUUGACAAAUCCUGCCACAGCAACAUUCCAUCAGUCUAAUUCUAUGAUACUUAGGAACAAGUCAAACACAAUCUUAAAGCCGGUGUAGCUACGAACGAACCUAAAAGUCCAGACAACAAAAGACUGCAUCAUUUUUAAACUUGUAGAUGCCAAAUUGCAAAAAAUCAUAAUCCUAGAUAUAUAACAACCGAAAUUAUCUGGAAUAUUUCGAAAACAAGUCCAUUUAAAUUCGAGCUUAAUCAAAUACCUAACCAGCUUUUUCAAAAAAAUUUAGUACUUUACAAUCCGAAAUCAGAAUGCAUUAUCAAAAAUAGAAUAAGCUUCUGUAUGUCACAGACGAAUAGAGGUAGGGAUGGCAACCAAACCCGGACCCAGAUCGGACCCAGACUGAACCCGGAAAAUCCGAUCCGGGUUCAACCCACAUUGAAACAAUUUUUAUGCGGAAUCCGGAUCGGUUUUUCAGAACCCGCAUACUUUCCGGGUCCGAAUCCGGUUUCAGGUGAACCCACAAAUCCGAAACCCAGAUCCAGAUAUUAUUUAUUUUAAUAUUAAUUUUUUUUAAAAUUAUUAAAUAUAAAUAGAAAAAUUAAAAAAAAAAACCCUAGCCCUCUCAAUCUCUCAUUCGUUCAUUCCUCUCUCACUCGUUCCUCUCUCGAUCUCUCACUCUCUUCAACUUCUCCUCUCAAUCUCUCAUCUGUUCAGCUGUUCCUCUCUCAAUCUCUCUCACCCGUUUCUCACUCAAUCUCUCUCACUCUCUCUUCAACUCUCUUGUAAUUUCUCUUCUUCAAAUCAGAUCCUUCGCGGUGUGGCUGUCAUCACCUUCACGGUGCGCCUGUGUUUGUUUCAUCAGUCAUCAGCAUCAGCAUCACUCGUCUCAUCUCUCACUCUGUCGCGGCAAGCAAAAGGGGGUGGAUUUUGUGGUUGUGUUCUGUGGCCUGUGGGGGUGGAUUUCACGGCAGUGUACUGUGGCCUGUGGGGGUGGAUUUUGUGGUUGUGUACUGUGGCCUGUGGGGGUGGAUUUCGCGGCUGUUGUAUUUGUUUUAGAACCUGGAUUUGAAGUUAUAUGUUUUGGAUUUGAAAUUUUGUUGAACUAAACUAAAGCAAUCUGGAUUCUGGAAGCAAUUUGGUUCUGGUUUGUGUAACUGUGUUCUUUUUUUUUUUUUGCCCUUUUUCCAGCAACUUAAGGAAAGCAAUCUGGGUUCAAAACCCGGAAUUUUCCAGGUUGAACCCGGACUGGACCCGGAUGAAAAAAAACUGGGUUCAAUGCGGGUCCGGUAACGAGAAUUUGGUGUCCGGGUCCAGGUCCGGAUCCGGAACGGCUAAACCCGGACCCGGACCCGGACCCGGAAAUUGCCAUCCCUAAAUAGAGGUGCCAAACAUAUUUCUUUAUUUCUAUUACUCUACAUAACUUCUCACAUUCAUGCAUGUGGAUAUGUUUCUCCACAUAAGACAUAGUCACAGAGAAUUAUGUUUAUCGCAUUCACUGAACAGACAUUGUAGCAAGUUUACAC